rnacentral:rRNA from 1 species
AGAGUUUGAUCCUGGCUCAGGAUGAACGCUAGCUACAGGCUUAACACAUGCAAGUCGAGGGGAACGACAUCGAAAGCUUGCUUUUGAUGGGCGUCGACCGGCGCACGGGUGAGUAACGCGUAUCCAACCUGCCCAUCACUUGGGGAUAACCUUGCGAAAGUAAGACUAAAUACCCAAUGACGUCUCUAGAAGACAUCUGAAAGAGAUUAAAGAUUUAUCGGUGAUGGAUGGGGAUGCGUCUGAUUAGCUUGUUGGCGGGGUAACGGCCACCAAGGCGACGAUCAGUAGGGGUUCUGAGAGGAAGGUCCCCACGAUUGGAACUGAGACACGGUCCAAACUCCUACGGCAGGCA